GGGCCCGCACAAGUGGUGGAGCAUGUGGUUUAAUUCGAUGCAACGCGAAGAACCUUACCAACCCUUGAAAUCUAGCGAAGUUCACAGAGAUGAGAAUGUGCCUUCGGGAACGCUAUGACAGGUGUUGCAUGGCUGUCGUCAGCUCGUGUCGUGAGAUGUAUGGUUAAGUCCAGUAACGAGCGCAACCCCUAUCCUUAUUUGCCAGCGCGUUAAGGCGGGAACUAUAGGGAGACUGCCGGGUGAAACCCGGAGGAAGGCGGGGACGAGGUCAAGUCAUCAUGGCCCUUAUGGGUUGGGCUACACACGUGCUACAAUGGGAAGUACAGAGGGAUGCGAAAGCGCGAGCUGGAGCCAA
rnacentral:rRNA from 1 species